rnacentral:rRNA from 1 species
CCGCUAUUGGAGUUCGAUUAAGCCAUGCGAGUCGCGAGAAAUUAGAUUCUCGGCGUACCGCUCAGUAACACGUGGGUAACCUGCCCUAUGCUGGAUAAUAACCUCGGGAAACUGAGUAUAAUGAUCCAUAGUUCACUACGCCUGGAACGGUGAGUGGAUGAAAGCUCCGGCGGCAUAGGAUGGGCCUGCGGCGUAUCAGGUUGUAGGGGGUGUAGCGUACCCUCUAGCCCUCUACGCGUACGGGUGUUGGGAGGCAUAGCCCGGAGAUGGAUUCUGAGACACGAAUCCAGACCCUACGGGGUGCAGCAGGCGCGAAAACUUGGCAACGCGAGAAAUCGUGACCAGGGAACUCCAAGUGCAUCGGGUAAGACCGGUGCUUUUCUUGACUCUAAAUAGGUCUUGGAAUAAGGGGUGGGUAAGGACGGUGCCAGCCGCCGCGGUAAUACCGGCGCCUCAAGUGGUAGUCGCUUUUAUUGGGCCUAAAACGUCCGUAGCCGGUCUGAUACAUUCGUGGGUAAAUCAACCAGCUCAACUGGUUGAAUUCUGCGAGGACGGUCAGACUUGGGACCGGGAGAGGUGUGGGGUACGCUCAGGGUAGGGGUAAAAUCCUGUCAUCCUGAGCGGACCACCUGUUGCGAAGGCGCCACACUAGAACGGAUCCGACGGUCAGGGACGAAGCCUAGGGGCACGAACCGGAUUAGAUACCCGGGUAGUCCUAGGUGUAAACGCUGUGGACUUGAUGUUGGGGGUGCUCCGAGCACUCUCAGUGUCGAAGCGAAGGUGAUAAGUCCACUGCCUGGGAAGUACGGUCGCAAGGCUGAAACUUAAAGGAAUUGGCGGGGGAGCACCGCAACCUGAGGAUUGUGCGG